UAGGGAAUCUUCCGCAAUGGACGCAAGUCUGACGGAGCAACGCCGCGUGAGUGAAGAAGGAUUUCGGUUCGUAAAACUCUGUUGUUAGAGAAGAACAGCGCAUAGAGUAACUGUUAUGCGUGUGACGGUAUCUAACCAGAAAGCCACGGCUAACUACGUGCCAGCAGCCGCGGUAAUACGUAGGUGGCAAGCGUUGUCCGGAUUUAUUGGGCGUAAAGCGAGCGCAGGCGGUCAAUUAAGUCUGAUGUGAAAGCCCCCGGCUCAACCGGGGAGGGUCAUUGGAAACUGGUUGACUUGAGUGCAGAAGAGGAGGGUGGAAUUCCAUGUGUAGCGGUGAAAUGCGUAGGUAUAUGGAGGAACACCAGUGGCGAAGGCGACUCUCUGGUCUGUAACUGACGCUGAGGUUCGAAAGCGUGGGUAGCAAACAGG
rnacentral:rRNA from 1 species